GCCGCCUACGAAGAAAAUGGCGGCUCGCCUGAGACGAAUCCAUUUGCUAGUACUGCGAUUCGUGUGUAUCUUAGGGAAGUGAAAGAGUGUCAAGCUAAGGCCCGUGGCAUUGCGUAUAAGAAGAAACAAAAGAAAGCUAGCCCCAGCAAAGGAGAUGAUGAUUCCACUUCUGCAGGGUUUCUCUCAUUUUCUUGAUCCACUAAUGCAGUUAUUGCCUAGUUCCUCCCCAUCGAAAAUGGAUCUUGCAGAAGAUAGAAGGAAUUUGCCACUAAUUAGAAGUGGAAUUUCUUUUUUAUCAACUUUUAAGUCGGAUCACAUUUGUAAUAGCUAUAAAUAUAGCAGAAUUCAAAGAGUUGUUUUGUGAAUUCUAAAUCAUUUCUUGUAAGAUCAUAUAUCCUCUUUAUACAAGUAAGUUUUCCUA